rnacentral:rRNA from 1 species
CCUACGGGUGGCAGCAGUGAGGAAUAUUGGUCAAUGGACGAGAGUCUGAACCAGCGAAGUAGCGUGAAGGAUGGCUGCCCUAUGGGUUGUAAACUUCUUUUAUGUGGGAAUAAAACAAGGUAUGCAUACCCUCUUGUAUGUACCAUAUGAAUAAGGAUCGGCUAACUCCGUGCCAGCAGCCGCGGUAAUACGGAGGAUCCGAGCGUUAUCCGGAUUUAUUGGGUUUAAAGGGAGAGUAGGUGGAUUGUUAAGUCAGUUGUGAAAGUUUGGGGCUCAACCGUAAAAUUGCAGUUGAAACUGGCAGUCUUGAGUACAGGAGAGGUGGGCGGAAUUCGUGGUGUAGCAGUGAAAUGCUUAGAUAUCACGAAGAACUCUGAUUGCGAAGGCAGCUCACUGGACUGCAACUGACACUGAGGCACGAAAGUGUGGGUAUCAAACAGGAUUAGAUACCCGUGUAGUC